CCACGGGUUGCUCCAGUGAGGAAUUUUGCGCAAUGGGGGAAACCCUGACGCAGCAACGCCGCGUGAGUGAUGAAGGCCUUCGGGUCGUAAAACUCUGUCAAGUGGGAAGAACCUAUGUAAGGUUAAUACCCUUAUGUACUGACGGUACCACUGAAGGAAGCACCGGCUAACUCCGUGCCAGCAGCCGCGGUAAUACGGAGGGUGCAAGCGUUAUUCGGAAUUAUUGGGCGUAAAGGGCGCGCAGGCGGUUUUGUAAGUCAGAUGUGAAAGCCCGGGGCUUAACCUCGGAAGUGCAUUUGAGACUGCAAGACUUGAGUAUGGGAGGGGGAAGUGGAAUUCCUGGUGUAGAGGUGAAAUUCGUAGAUAUCAGGAGGAACACCAGUGGCGAAGGCGACUUCCUGGACCAAUACUGACGCUGAGGCGCGAAGGCGUGGGGAGCAAACAGGAUUAGAUACCCGCGUAGUC
rnacentral:rRNA from 1 species